rnacentral:rRNA from 1 species
GGGUUAAGUCCGCAACGAGCGCAACCCUUAUCCCUAGUUGCCAUCAGGUAAAGCUGGGAACUCUGGGGAGACUGCCGGUGAUAAACCGGAGGAAGGCGGGGAUGACGUCAAGUCCUCAUGGCCCUUAUGUCCAGGGCUACACACGUGCUACAAUGGGCAGUACAAAGGGUAGCAAGCCUGCGAAGGUGAGCCAAUCUCAAAAAGCUGUUCGUAGUUCGGAUUGGAGUCUGCAACUCGACUCCAUGAAGCUGGAAUCGCUAGUAAUCGCGGAUCAGCAUGCCGCGGUGAAUACGUUCCCGGGCCUU